AUGUUGAAACAUUGGUUCCCUUAUGAUCACUGAAGUUAAGCAACAUUGAGCAUGGUCAGUAGCUAGAUGAGUGUCCGUUUAGGAAUACCAGAUGCUGUAAG